rnacentral:tRNA from 1 species
GGUGGCUCAGUGGUAGAACGCUUGCCUUGCAUGCAUGAGGCCCUGGGUUCGAUUCCACAGCACCA